rnacentral:tRNA from 1 species
AGCUUUAUAUUCAACUUGAUUUUAGAUUGCAAGUCUAAAGGUGUGGCUUUAAGCCUCUAAGGCUU